rnacentral:snRNA from 1 species
GUACUGACCUGGCAGGGAAGAUACCAUCAUCAUGAAGGUGGUUUUCCCAGGGUGAGGCUUUUCCAUUGCACUCCCAAUGUGCUGUCCCCUGCAAUUUCCCCAAAUGUGGAAAAUUUGACUGCAUAAUUUGUGAUAGUGGG